AGAACGAACGCUGGCGGCAUGCCUAACACAUGCAAGUCGAACGAGACCUUCGGGUCUAGUGGCGCACGGGUGCGUAACGCGUGGGAAUCUGCCCUUGGGUUCGGAAUAACAGCGAGAAAUUGCUGCUAAUACCGGAUGAUGACGUAAGUCCAAAGAUUUAUCGCCCAAGGAUGAGCCCGCGUAGGAUUAGCUUGUUGGUGAGGUAAGAGCUCACCAAGGCGACGAUCCUUAGCUGGUCUGAGAGGAUGACCAGCCACACUGGGACUGAGACACGGCCCAGACUCCGUACGGGAGGCAGCAGGUGGGGAAUAUGGACAAUGGGCGAAAGCCUGAUCCAGACAAUGCCGCGUGAGUGAUAGGAACGGUCCGUUUAAGGGUUAGUAAAAGUCCUUCGUUUUACCCGGUAUGUAAUAAGUCGACGAACGGUACCGGGAAG
rnacentral:rRNA from 1 species